CGCUAAUGACGUCACAUCAUCCAGAUUGACGUAAUUGAAAUUUCCCGUAGUAUUUUCAAUAAUUUUUACAACGUAGUUUUAUGUUCACCAUAAAGUGUCUAAACAGAAAAGUACAGAGAAACAGAAGAAGAAAGAAUUACAGAAACAGAAAGACAAAAACUGAACGAAUCAGAAAGAGCAGAUGAGUUUACAUUCUGGGGAACAGAAGAGCUUUGAAUAACGAUAUGAAAUAAUCCAAGUGAAGAUCUAUGGGAAAUGCUCAAAAUGCCUCAUCCUCAACAAAACGAGGUGCUAGAGUAGUAAUUCAAUCACCACAACAUGACGAUGAUAAUAAUGGUACGCGUGUUAAAUUUGCCAACGAAAAAAGGAAUCACCAAACAUACACAAUAACUCCGAAAAUGGUGAUUGGAGAAAUACAUCCCGAUGACGUAACACCAAGAGUUGUUCGGAAUCGAACAAAACCCUCUGCUGGUUUAGAGGAAUCAGAAGUCGAAGAAGAAGCUGCUAAAUAUAAAACAAUAUCGGAAGCAUCUAUUAAACCGCAUCCUGCAAUGACAGAUGAAUAUUCUGGUAUUAAAAUUCCACCAAAACAUAAAAUAUUGAAAGAAGUGGAUGACAUUUAAAGUUUUGUUCUUCGUGUAUAAUUACAACGCUAGUCAAUGCAUUCUUUGCAGAAAUAAGUAUGUAAACAUACUCAGGUCAUGUGCAUUGAUUUUUUUUAUGACAUGAUAAUUUAGCAAAAUUACUGUCUCUUCGAUUAAUUUAAGUUUGUCUUUAUAUUUAAUAAAAUAUAAUAUUUUA